CCGGGAACCAAGAAUAACCUGCUGCCUCCUCCUGCCUCCCAGACAGGAGGGACCCAAGUUGGACUCCUUAAAGGAGAAGGACAAUCCCACAUUGACGUCCACAGGAUCACCAUUUCAUUUGCCCUUCUUCACUUUCGGGAACAUCUGGGACAUCGGGUUCUGAGGUCCACUAUUAGUCUUCGGAUCCCCAGCUUCUCAGUGCUCCUCCCCCAGGGCUGACAGGAGGCCAAGGGGCUUAGCGGUGCAUGGUCUGGGCAGCCAGCCCUCCAGCCCUGAGGAGGCCAUCAUGCCCAACCUACCUGGAGAUGAAGAGCAGCCAGGAGAGCCACAGCCCGCCCUGAGC
rnacentral:lncRNA from 1 species